rnacentral:rRNA from 1 species
AGCGAACGCUGGCGGCAGGCCUAACACAUGCAAGUCGAACGAAGUCUUCGGACUUAGUGGCGGACGGGUGAGUAACACGUGGGAACGUGCCCUUUGGUACGGAAUAACUCAGGGAAACUUGAUCUAAUAACGUAUGUGCCUUUAGGGGGAAAGAUUUAUCGCCAUGGGAGCGGCCCGAGUCUGAUUAGCUAGUUGGUGAGGUAAAGGCUCACCAAGGCGACGAUCAGUAGCUGGUCUGAGAGGAUGGUCAGCCACAUUGGGACUGAGACACGGCCCAAACUCCUACAGGAGGCAGCAGUGGGGAAUCUUGCGCAAUGGGCGAAAGCCUGACGCAGCCAUGCCGCGUGAAUGAUGAAGGUCUUAGGACUGUAAAAUUCUUUCACCGGGGACGAUAAUGACGGUACCCGGACAAGAAGCCCCGGCUAACUUCGUGCCAGCCGCCGCCGUAAGAC